rnacentral:rRNA from 1 species
UACGUAGGGUGCGAGCGUUAAUCGGAAUUACUGGGCGUAAAGCGUGCGCAGGCGGUUCGUUGUGUCGGCGGUGAAAGCCCCGGGCUCAACCUGGGAAUGGCCGUUGAAACUGGCGAACUGGAGUGUGGCAGAGGGGGGUGGAAUUCCGCGUGUAGCAGUGAAAUGCGUAGAGAUGCGGAGGAACACCGAUGGCGAAGGCAGCCCCCUGGGCUGACACUGACGCUCAGGCACGAAAGCGUGGGUAGCAAACAGG